rnacentral:tRNA from 1 species
GGUUGUGGUCAGUGGUAGGGUGCUUGCUUAGCAUGUGUGAGGCCCUGGGUUCGAUCCUCAGCACCA